CCUACGGGUGGCAGCAGUGGGGAAUAUUGGGCAAUGGAGGAAACUCUGACCCAGCAAUGCCGCGUGAAUGAAGAAGGUCUUCGGAGUGUAAAGUUCUUUAGUCAGGGAAGAAUAAAAUGACGGUACCUGAAGAAUAAGCUUCGGCUAACUACGUGCCAGCAGCGGCGGGAAUACGUAGGGAGCAAGCGUUGUUCGGAAUGACUGGGCGUAAAGGGUGCGUAGGCGGUUAUACAAGUUAGAAGUGAAAUACCCCGGGCUUAACUCGGGUGCUGCUUCUAAAACUGUAAGACUUGAGUGCAGUAGAGGUUAGUGGAAUGCCUAGUGUAGCGGUGGAAUGCGUAGAUAUUAGGAAGAACACCAGAGGCGAAGGCGGCUAACUGGACUGCAACUGACGCCGAGGCACGAAAGUGUGGGGAGCAAACAGGAUUAGAUACCCCUGUAGUC
rnacentral:rRNA from 1 species